UGCUUAACACCUGCAAGUCUUACGAGAAAGGGGUAGCAAUAUCCUGAGUAAAGUGGCGCACGGGUGAGUAACACGUAGGCAAUCUGCCUUUAGGACGGGAACAACCACGCGAAAGCGUGGCUAAUACCCGAUAAUGCAGCGGCUCCGCAUGGAGACAGUUGUUAAUUCCCGCAAGGGGCCUAUUGACGAGCCUGCGUCUGAUUAGCUAGUUGGUGAGGUAACGGCCCACCAAGGCGACGAUCAGUAGCUGGUCUGAGAGGAUGAUCAGCCACACUGGGACUGAGACACGGCCCAGACUCCUACGGGAGGCAGCAGUGGGGAAUUUUGGACAAUGGGGGCAACCCUGAUCCAGCCAUGCCGCGUGAGUGAAGAAGGCCUUCGGGUUGUAAAGCUC
rnacentral:rRNA from 1 species